CUGGAGAAGCGUUUUCCGCGCUGGACCGUGUACAAGUCUCUUGGAAUAGAGCGUCAUAGAGGGUGAGAAUCCCGUCUUUGACACGGACUACCAGUGCUUUGUGAUGCGCUCUCAAAGAGUCGAGUUGUUUGGGAAUGCAGCUCAAAAUGGGUGGUGAAUUCCAUCUAAAGCUAAAUAUUGGCGAGAGACCGAUAGCGAACAAGUACCGUGAGGGAAAGAUGAAAAGCACUUUGGAAAGAGAGUUAAACAGUACGUGAAAUUGCUGAAAGGGAAACGCUUGAAGUCAGUCGCGUCAUCCAGAACUCAGCCUGGCUUUUGCUUGGUGUAUUUUCUGGUUGACGGGCCAGCAUCAGUUUUGACCGCUGGAAAAAGGCCAUGGGAAUGUGGCACCUUCGGGUGUGUUAUAGCCCGUGGUCAUAUACAGCGGUUGGGACUGAGGACCGCAGCACGCCUUUAUGGUUGGGGUUCGCCCACAUUCGUGCUUAGGAUGCUGGCGUAAUGGCUUUAAACGACCCGUCUUGAAACACGGACCAAGGAGUCUAACAUGCCUGCGAGUGUUUGGGUGGAAAACCCGAGCGCGUAAUGAAAGUGAAAGUUGGGAUCCCUGUCGUGGGGAGCACCGACGCCCGGACCAGACCUUUUGUGACGGAUCCGCGGUAGAGCAUGUAUGUUGGGACCCGAAAGAUGGUGAACUAUGCCUGAAUAGGGUGAAGCCA
rnacentral:rRNA from 1 species